rnacentral:lncRNA from 1 species
GGGGUUGGAAUAUUUGGCCUAGCAUGCUCUAACGCCUGUUUAUAAGCAUUAUAAACAGUUUGAGCAUUCACUUUAAUUGAUGCUUGCGCAUCAGAUAGUAUAGCCAUUUCUUCUUCAUCAAGAUCUAAAGCUUGAUAAAUACUAGAAUACCAAAAGUGAGGUCCUCCUAAUUUUUAUAGUAGGAUUUAGCAUAGCAGACACACCAUAUAUACGAGGGAUUGGAAAAAAAUAUAUUUUAAACUUCUUUUUCAUUUCUGUUAUUGCAUAUUCAUAAAUUUCCCCUCCCUCGUUAAAAU